UGGGGAAUCUUCCGCAAUGGACGAAAGUCUGACGGAGCAACGCCGCGUGAGUGAAGAAGGUUUUCGGAUCGUAAAACUCUGUCUUUUGGGGCGAACGUGAGUAUGGUGAACAAUCAUAGUCAGUGACGGUACCAAAGGAGGAAGCCACGGCUAACUACGUGCCAGCAGCCGCGGUAAUACGUAGGUGGCAAGCGUUGUCCGGAAUUAUUGGGCGUAAAGAGCGCGUAGGCGGGAUAGUCAGUCUGUUGUAAAAUGCGGGGCUCAACCCCGUGAUGGCAAUGGAAACAGCUAUUCUUGAGUGCAGGAGAGGAAAGUGGAAUUCCCAGUGUAGCGGUGAAAUGCGUAGAUAUUGGGAGGAACACCAGUGGCGAAGGCGACUUUCUGGACUGUGUCUGACGCUGAGGCGCGAAAGCCAGGGGAGCGAACGGGAUUAGAUACCCCGGUAGUCCUGGCCGUAAACGAUGGGUACUAGGUGUGGGAGGUAUCGACCCCUUCCGUGCCGGAGUUAACGCAAUAAGUACCCCGCCUGGGGAGUACGGUCGCAAGACUGAAACUCAAAGGAAUUGACGGGGUCAUAGCUGUUUCCUG
rnacentral:rRNA from 1 species